rnacentral:rRNA from 1 species
AUUGAACGCUGGCGGCAUGCCUAACACAUGCAAGUCGAGCGGAUGAAGGGAGCUUGCUCCUGGAUUCAGCGGCGGACGGGUGAGUAAUGCCUAGGAAUCUGCCUUGUAGUUGGGGAUAACGUCCGGAAACGGGCGCUAAUACCGCAUACGUCCUGAGGUAGAAAGUGGGGGAUCUUCGGACCUCGCGCUAUCAGCUGAGCCUAGGUCGGAUUAGCUAGUUGGUGGGGUAAAGGCCUACCAAGGCGACGAUCCGUAACUGGUCUGAGAGGAUGAUCAGUCACACUGGAACUGAGACACGGUCCAGACUCCUACGGGAGGCAGCAGUGGGGAAUAUUGGACAAUGGGCGAAAGCCUGAUCCAGCCAUGCCGCGUGUGUGAAGAAGGUCUUCGGAUUGUAAAGCACUUUAAGUUGGGAGGAAGGGCAGUAAGUUAAUACCUUGCUGUUUUGACGUUACCAACAGAAUAAGCACCGGCUAACUUCGUG